rnacentral:rRNA from 1 species
GUGCAGCAGGCGCGAAACCUCCGCAAUGCUCGAAAGAGCGACGGGGGACUCCAAGUGCCUACGCUCAGCGUAGGCUGUUCCCGAGCCUAAAAAGCUCGGGGAGUAAGGGCUGGGGUAAGACGGGUGCCAGCCGCCGCGGUAAUACCCGCAGCCCGAGUGGUGGCCGCUAUUAUUGGGCCUAAAGCGUCCGUAGCCGGCUCGGUAAAUGCCUGGGUAAAUCGUCUGGCCCAACCAGACGAAUUCCGGGUAGACUGCCGGGCUAGGGGACCGGAGGAGGGAGAGGGGUACGUCCGAGGGGUAGGGGUGAAAUCAGCAAGGUGAGUUGCUGAUGUAACUUGCCUUGCAAGUCAC